GAUGAAGAACGUAGUGAAAUGCGAUAAGUAAUGUGAAUUGCAGAAUUCAGUGAAUCAUCGAAUCUUUGAACGCACAUUGCGCCCCCCAGUAUUCUGGCGGGCAUGCCUGUUCGAGCGUCAUUUCAACCAUCAAGCCCUGCUUGUGUUGGGGUCCUGCGGCUGCCCGCAGGCCCUGAAAACCAGUGGCGGGCUCGCUAGUCACACCGAGCGCAGUAGCACAUCUCGCUCAGGGCGUGCGGCGGGCUCCAGCCGUUAAAGCACCCACCUUUCGCAAGGUUGACCUCGGAUCAGGUAGGAAUACCCGCUGAACUUAAGCAUAUCAAUAAGCGGAGGA
rnacentral:misc_RNA from 1 species